rnacentral:rRNA from 1 species
ACAAUCGGGCGCAAGCCUGAUGGAGCAACACCGCGUGAGUGAAGAAGGGUUUCGGCUCGUAAAGCUCUGUUGUUUAAAGAAGAACACGUAUGAGAGUAACUGUUCAUACGUUGACGGUAUUUAACCAGAAAGUCACGGCUAACUACGUGCCAGCAGCCGCGGGAAUACGUAGGUGGCAAGCGUUAUCCGGAUUUAUUGGGCGUAAAGAGAGUGCAGGCGGUUUUCUAAGUCUGAUGUGAAAGCCUUCGGCUUAACCGGAGAAGUGCAUCGGAAACUGGAUAACUUGAGUGCAGAAGAGGGUAGUGGAACUCCAUGUGUAGCGGUGGAAUGCGUAGAUAUAUGGAAGAACACCAGUGGCGAAGGCGGCUACCUGGUCUGCAACUGACGCUGAGACUCGAAAGCAUGGGUAGCGAACAGGAUUAGAUACCCUGGUAG